rnacentral:rRNA from 1 species
GACGAACGCUGGCGGCGUGCUUAACACAUGCGAGUCGAACGGAAAGACCCUGCUUUUGUGGGGUGCUCGAUUGGCGAACGGGGGAGUAACACGUGUGUAACCUGCCCUUGACUUUGGGAGAACUUCAGGAAACUGGGGCUAAUACAGGAGAGAAGCUCCUGCUGCAUGGGGGGGGUUAGAAAGUUUCGGCGGUUGUGGCUAGGCUGGCGGCUUAUCAGCUUGUUGGUGGGGUAGUUGCUUACCAAGUCUUUGACGGGUAGCCCGCCUUGGAGGUUGGACGGCCACCAGGCGCCUGCGGGACGGACCAGACUCCUACCGGACGCAACAGUGGGGAACCUUACACAGUGGGCCGGAGCCUGUUGCAGCAACGCUCCGUGCGGAAUGACCGCUUUCGGGUUGUAAACCGCUUUCGACUGUGCUGAAGAGUGCGUGACGGUAAUGGGUAAAGAAGCACCGGCUAACUACGUG